rnacentral:tRNA from 1 species
AGAAAGAAUAUUGGAACUGCUAAUUCCAUACCCCCAUAUUUAACACUAUGGCUUUCUU